AGAGUUUGAUCAUGGCUCAGAUUGAACGCUGGCGGCAGGCCUAACACAUGCAAGUCGAGCGGAUGAAGGGAGCUUGCUCCUGGAUUCAGCGGCGGACGGGUGAGUAAUGCCUAGGAAUCUGCCUGGUAGUGGGGGAUAACGUCCGGAAACGGGCGCUAAUACCGCAUACGUCCUGAGGGAGAAAGUGGGGGAUCUUCGGACCUCACGCUAUCAGAUGAGCCUAGGUCGGAUUAGCUAGUUGGUGGGGUAAAGGCCUACCAAGGCGACGAUCCGUAACUGGUCUGAGAGGAUGAUCAGUCACACUGGAACUGAGACACGGUCCAGACUCCUACGGGAGGCAGCAGUGGGGAAUAUUGGACAAUGGGCGAAAGCCUGAUCCAGCCAUGCCGCGUGUGUGAAGGAGGUCUUCGGAUUGUAAAGCACUUUAAGUUGGGAGGAAGGGCAGUAAGUUAAUACCUUGCUGUUUUGACGUUACCAACAGAAUAAGCACUGGCUAACUUCGUGCCAGCAGCCGCGGUAAUACGAAGGGUGCAAGCGUUAAUCGGAAUUACUGGGCGUAAAGCGCGCGUAGGUGGUUCAGCAAGUUGGAUGUGAAAUCCCCGGGCUCAACCUGGGAACUGCAUCCAAAACUACUGAGCUAGAGUACGGUAGAGGGUGGUGGAAUUUCCUGUGUAGCGGUGAAAUGCGUAGAUAUAGGAAGGAACACCAGUGGCGAAGGCGACCACCUGGACUGAUACUGACACUGAGGUGCGAAAGCGAGGGGAGCAAACAGGAUUAGAUACCCUGGUAGUCCACGCCGUAAACGAUGUCGACUAGCCGUUGGGAUCCUUGAGAUCUUAGUGGCGCAGCUAACGCGAUAAGUCGACCGCCUGGGGAGUACGGCCGCAAGGUUAAAACUCAAAUGAAUUGACGGGGGCCCGCACAAGCGGUGGAGCAUGUGGUUUAAUUCGAAGCAACGCGAAGAACCUUACCUGGCCUUGACAUGCUGAGAACUUUCCAGAGAUGGAUUGGUGCCUUCGGGAACUCAGACACAGGUGCUGCAUGGCUGUCGUCAGCUCGUGUCGUGAGAUGUUGGGUUAAGUCCCGUAACGAGCGCAACCCUUGUCCUUAGUUACCAGCACCUCGGGUGGGCACUCUAAGGAGACUGCCGGUGACAAACCGGAGGAAGGUGAGGAUGACGUCAAGUCAUCAUGGCCCUUACGGCCAGGGCUACACACGUGCUACAAUGGUCGGUACAAAGGGUUGCCAAGCCGCGAGGUGGAGCUAAUCCCAUAAAACCGAUCGUAGUCCGGAUCGCAGUCUGCAACUCGACUGCGUGAAGUCGGAAUCGCUAGUAAUCGUGAAUCAGAAUGUCACGGUGAAUACGUUCCCGGGCCUUGUACACACCGCCCGUCACACCAUGGGAGUGGGUUGCUCCAGAAGUAGCUAGUCUAACCGCAAGGGGGACGGUUACCACGGAGUGAUUCAUGACUGGGGUGAAGUCGGAACAAGGUA
rnacentral:rRNA from 1 species